CAUCAGCACGAGAUUGGAAGUGCGUCAAAUCUGUACAGCAUUGUUACGUCAUCACUGAUAAACGUUGAAACUGAUGAGAAACCGCGGGAGCAGUUCAGUCUGAUUCUCGCUAGUCCUGGAGGAGCGUUCAUUUUGGCAAGGAAAUGUGCUGAUUUUGCAAGGACGUGAGAAGAAAGAGUUCAAGAUCUGAUAAAGAUCACAGAGAGGUUGAGAGACAGACCAAGUUGGAAGAGGCUGUUCUAGAGACAGAUAUCCCAACUCUGUCACUAGAGGCUGAAGGAGAGAUUGAGAUGCAGGAAGCUGAUCUGAAGACAGAUGGCACAUCUCAGUCACAGGAGGUUGAAGGAGAGAGUGAGUUGGACGAGGCCAUUGUCAUCCCAUCUCAGUCACAUGAGGUUGAAGGAGAGAGUGAGUUGGACGAGGCCAUUGUCAUCCCAUCUCAGUCACAGGAGGAGGCCAAAGGAGAGAGUGAGUUGAAUCGGGUUGAUCUGAAGACAUCCACAUCAACUCUGACACUGGAGGUCGAAGAAGAGAGUGUCAUGCAGGAGAGUGAUGAUGUAGAAACAGCCGGGCCAUCUCAAUGCCAGGAGACUGAACGAGUGGCAAAGGUAAAUGCUUCCAGAUAACAGUGUGUGUG